rnacentral:rRNA from 1 species
GAUGAACGCUGGCGGCGUGCUUAAUACAUGCAAGUCGAGCGAACGGACGCGACGCUUGCUUCUCUGUUGUUAGCGGCGGACGGGUGUGUCACAUGUGUAUCACCUACCUAUCAGUCUGGGAUAACUUCGGGAAACCGGAGCUAAUACCGGAUGAUAUUUUGCACCGUAUGGUUCAAAGGUGAAAGACGGUCUUGCUGUCACUAAUAGAUGCAUACGGGCUGCAUUAGCUGGUUGGUACGGUACCGGCUUACCACGGCGACGAUGCAUAGCCGACCCGAGGGGGGGUACGGCCACACAGGGACUGAGACACCGCACAGGGUCCGACGGGAGGCAGCAACAGGGAAGCGUGCGAAAAGGGCGAAAGCCUGACGAAGCAACGGCGCGUGGGUGAUGAAGGGCCUCGGAUCGUAAAACGCUGUUCUUAGUGAAGAACAGAUGUGUAAGUAACGGUGCACAUCUGGACGGUACCGAAACAGAAAGCCACGGCUAACUACGU